rnacentral:lncRNA from 1 species
UCGGAUCCUUCUCGGUUGCGUGUUAUCGAUCCCGUUUAAAGCUUUUGCUGAAGUUUUUUUAUGGUUACCGGUGAGAGAUACUAUUCGCAGACGUUUCAACGAAUGUUGAGCGGAUAAUCGGAAUUUUCCUGUUAUUCGAGGUUCCGAUCUUGUAUUAGUGGGUGUUUUGGGUAAUUUUCCGGCAUCCCUGGCUUUAUUCCGACGAGUUCUUCAAAUUCUAGGGUUUUCAGAUUUUCGGACCUAGAGGUUUGAUGUUAUUUGAUGACUUUGUCUUCGCUUGAUAGACGUUUUGGGUAACUUUCCGACUUCUGUGACCUUAUUCUGGUGAGUUUCAGAACCUACGGUUUCCGGUGUUGGACCUAGGGUUUUAUCUGUUGAUUGAAGGCGGAUCUUCUCCGGUCGCGAAGAAGGAGGGUAACUCAGUCCUUAUAUUUUGAGUAUUGUAUGCUUUGUAUGUGAACUCUGGUUCCGUUAUAUUUUGCUUACCGAGACUGUUUUCUUCUC